rnacentral:rRNA from 1 species
AAUGAACGCUGGCGGCAUGCCUUACACAUGCAAGUCGAACGGCAGCAUGACCUAGCUUGCUAGGUUGAUGGCGAGUGGCGAACGGGUGAGUAAUGCAUCGGAACGUGCCUUUUAGUGGGGGAUAACGUAGCGAAAGUUACGCUAAUACCGCAUAUUCUCUGAGGAGGAAAGCAGGGGACCUUCGGGCCUUGCGCUAGAAGAGCGGCCGAUGUCGGAUUAGCUAGUUGGUGAGGUAAAGGCUCACCAAGGCAACGAUCCGUAGCGGGUCUGAGAGGAUGAUCCGCCACACUGGGACUGAGACACGGCCUAGACUCCUACGGGAGGCAGCAGUGGGGAAUUUUGGACAAUGGGCGCAAGCCUGAUCCAGCCAUGCCGCGUGAGUGAAGAAGGCCUUCGGGUUGUAAAGCUCUUUCGGCUGGGAAGAAAUCGCACCCUCUAAUACAGGGUGUGGAUGACGGUACCAGCAUAAGAAGCACCGGCUAACUACGUG